rnacentral:rRNA from 1 species
CCCUUAGAUGUUCUGGGCUGCACACGUGCUACACUGGCAGGUUCAGCGAGCUUCAUGCCCUGAUCUGAAAGGAAUGGGAAAUCUUUUCAAAACCUGCCGUGCUUGGGAUAGAUGUCUGCAAUUAUUCAUCUUCAACGAGGAUUGCCUUGUAAGCGCACGUCAUCAGCGUGCAUUGAAUACGACCCUGUAUUCUGUACACACCGCCCGUCGCUCCUACCGAUUGAAGUUUUCGGUGAGUUGACAGGAGGAUUUUUUUGAAACUGGUUCGCCAGUGGAUUUUAGAUCCAAAUGCCAACGAAUCGAUGGCUUUAGAGGAAGGAGAAGUCGUAACA